GACAGAGGGUGCAAACGUUGUUCGGAAUUACUGGGCGUAAAGCGCGUGUAGGUGGCAAGGCAAGUCGGGUGUGAAAGCCCUGGGCUCAACCCAGGAAGUGCACUCGAUACUGCCUCGCUAGAGUCCCGGAGAGGUUGGUGGAACUCUCGGUGUAGAGGUGAAAUUCGUAGAUAUCGAGAAGAACACCGGUGGCGAAGGCGGCCAACUGGACGGUGACUGACACUGAGACGCGAAAGCGUGGGGAGCAAACAGGG
rnacentral:rRNA from 1 species